AGGGAACGCUGGCGGCGUGCUUAACACAUGCAAGUCGAACGAGAACGGGUUAUAGCUUGCUAUAAUUGUCAGCUAAGUGGCGUAUGGGUGAGUAAUGUAUAGGUAAUAUGCCUCUUACUAAGGGGUAACAAAUGGAAACGUUUGCUAAUACCUUAUACUCCUUAUUAACAUAAGUUAAUAAGGGACAGAUUUAUUGGUAAGAGAUUAGCCUGUAUUGUAUCAGUUAGUUGGUGGGGUAAUGGCUUACCAAGACUAUGACACAUAACUGGUUUGAGAGGAUGAUCAGUCACACUGGAACUGAGACACGGUCCAGACUCCUACGGGGGGCAGCAGUGGGGAAUAUUGCACAAUGGACGAAAGUCUGAUGCAGCAACGCCGCGUGGAGGAUGACACAUUUCGGUGCGUAAACUCCUUUUAUAUGAGAAGAUAAUGACGGUAUUAUAUGAAUAAGCACCGGCUAACUCCGUGCCAGCCGCCGCCGUAA
rnacentral:rRNA from 1 species